CGCAAGCCUGACGGAGCCAGACCGCGUGGGGGAGGAAGGCCCUUGGGUUGUAAACCCCUUUUCUCAGGGAAGAAACCUGACGGUACCUGAGGAAUAAGCCUCGGCUAACUCCGUGCCAGCAGCCGCGGUAAUACGGAGGAGGCAAGCGUUAUCCGGAAUUAUUGGGCGUAAAGCGUCCGCAGGGGGCGCAUCAAGUCUGCUGUCAAAGGUCGGAGCUUAACUCCGGUAGAGCAGUGGAAACUGGUGCGCUAGAGGGCGACAGGGGUAGAGGGAAUUCCCAGUGUAGCGGUGAAAUGCGUAGAGAUUGGGAAGAACACCGGUGGCGAAAGCGCUCUACUGGGUCGCACCUGACCCUCAGGGACGAAAGCUAAGGGAGCG
rnacentral:rRNA from 1 species